rnacentral:tRNA from 1 species
AGGGAUGUAGCUCAGUGAAUGAGCACUUGCCUAGCAUGUGAGAGGUCUUGGGUUCCAUCCCCAGCACUGUUU